ensembl:lncRNA
AGUGUUGUUAUCCCCACAGAGGGAGGGUGCUGGAGUAUUUUAAACAGACUAGUCUCAGUGUUGUUAUCCCCACAGAGGGAGGGUGCUGGAGUAUUUUAAACAGACUAGUCUCAGUGUUGUUAUCCCCACAGAGGGAGGGUGCUGGAGUAUUUUAAACAGACUAGUCUCAGUGUUGUUAUCCUCACAGAGGGAGGGUGCUGGAGUAUUUUAAACAGACUAGUCUCAGUGUUGUUAUCCCCACAGAGGGAGGGUGCUGGAGUAUUUUAAACAGACUAGUCUCAGUGUUGUUAUCCUCACAGAGGGAGGGUGCUGGAGUAUUUUAAACAGACUAGUCUCAGUGUUGUUAUCCUCACAGAGGGAGGGUGCUGGAGUAUUUUUAAACAGAGGUGACAAUAAUGUUGACCCUUUUAUCUUCUUGCGAUUUUUAUUUAUUUAGAUGUUUUAUUUUUUUCAAAGUAUUUUGGCAAAAUUUGGACGUGACUUUAUAUACCUCUUGGUAAAGGUAGGCUAAGAGUGAUGGUAUGGCUCAGACCAUGUGGGGGUAAAGUACAGUAAUUGUGUCUGUGACUAGACCUACCUUCUGUAUGCUUAGUACCAGAUCAACAAGUUUGAAAGCCUAAAUGGUAAUUCACUGAGUUCACAUGUUAAAAAAUACAUAUUUUUAAUCAAAAUACACCUUUAGGUUUUAACUCCAACCCUGUUCCUGGAGAGAUACCUCUUUAGGUUUUAACUCCAACCCUGUUCCUGGAGAGAUACCCCUUUAGGUUUUAACUCCAACCCUGUUCCUGGAGAGCAACCAGGUCUCCGCUGCAACCUCAGUUUUAAUUGACCUGAUUCAUUUUUUCAUCAGCUAAUUAUUGUAGUCAGGUGCUCUACAUUAUUAGGAUUGGAGCUAAAACCUACAGGACAGUAGCUCUCCAGGAACAGGGUUGGAGUGAGAACCUACAGGACAGUAGCUCUUCAGGAACAGGGUUGGAGUGAGAACCUACAGGACAGUAGCUCUUCAGGAACAGGGUUGGAGUGAGA